GAAGCAAGACCGCGAGGUGGAGCAAAACUCAAAAACAACGUCUCAGUUCAGAUUGCAGGCUGCAACUCGCCUGCAUGAAGUCGGAAUUGCUAGUAAUCGCGGAUCAGCAUGCCGCGGUGAAUACGUUCCCGGGCCUUGUACACACCGCCCGUCACACCAUGAGAGCCGGGGGGACCCGAAGUCCGUAGUCUAACCGCAAGGAAGGCGCGGCCGAAGGUAAAACUGGUGAUUGGGGUGAAGUCGUAACAAGGUACC
rnacentral:rRNA from 1 species